GACGAACGCUGGCGGCGUGCUUAACACAUGCAAGUCGAACGGAAAGGCCCUGCUUUUGUGGGGUGCUCGAGUGGCGAACGGGUGAGUAACACGUGAGUAACCUGUCCUUGACUUUGGGAUAACUUCAGGAAACUGGGGCUCAUACCGGAUAGGAGCUCCUGCUGCAUGGUGGGGGUUGGAAAGUUUCGGCGGUUGGGGAUGGACUCGCGGCUUAUCAGCUUGUUGGUGGGGUAGUGGCUUACCAAGGCUUUGACGGGUAGCCGGCCUGAGAGGGUGACCGGCGACAUUGGGACUGAGAUACGGCCCAGACUCCAACGGGAGGCAGCGGUGGGGAAGAUUGCACAAUGGGCGGAAGCCUGAUGCAGCAACGCAGCGUGCGGGAUGACGGGCUUCGGGUUGUAAACCGCUGUCGCCUGUGACGAAGCGUGAGUGACGGUAAUGGGUAAAGAAGCACCGGCUAACUACGUG
rnacentral:rRNA from 1 species